rnacentral:rRNA from 1 species
GAUGAACGCUAGCUACAGGCUUAACACAUGCAAGUCGCAGGACUGGCGCACGGGUGAGUAACGCGUAUCCAACCUUCCCAUGACCACGGGAUAACCCGUUGAAAGACGGACUAAUCCCGUAUGGUGAUGGAUGGGGAUGCGUCUGAUUAGCUUGUUGGCGGGGUAACGGCCCACCAAGGCGACGAUCAGUAGGGGUUCUGAGAGGAAGUUCCCCCACAUUGGAAAUGCGGAACGGUCACGACUCCUACGGGAGGUAGCAGUGAGGAAUAUUUGUCAAUGGGGGAGAGCCUGACACAGCCAAGUAGCGUGCAGGACGACGGCCUAUGGGUUGUAAACUGCUUUUAUGCGGGGAUAGGUACAGCAUGACUAAGGACUGGCUAAUGCCGGGCCAGCAGCCGCGGUAAGUC